rnacentral:rRNA from 1 species
UCCUUUUGUUAAAAUUUUAAGGUCUAGCCUGCCCACUGAUAUAUUGAAUGGCCGCGGUAUUUUGACCGUGCUAAGGUAGCAUAAUCAUUAGUUUUUUAAUUGAAAGCUGGAAUGAAGGGUUGGAUGAAAAAAAAGCUGUCUCUAUUUAAAUUAAUUAGAAUUUUAUUUUUAAGUUAAAAAGCUUAAAUUUUUUUAAAAGACGAGAAGACCCUAUAGAGUUUUAUAAUUUGAUUAUUUAUAAAUUUUAGUUUAUUUAAUUUUAAUAAAUAACUAAAUUAUUUAAUUGGGGUGAUUAAAAAAUUUAAUUAACUUUUUUUUUAUUAAAAUAUUAAUUUAUAAAUUUUUGAUCCAAUAUUUUUGAUUAUAAGAAAAAAUUACCUUAGGGAUAACAGCGUAAUUUUAUUUUAGAGUUCAAAUUGAAAAUAAAGAUUGCGACCUCGAUGUUGGAUUAAAA